rnacentral:rRNA from 1 species
GACGAACGCUGGCGGCGUGCCUAAUACAUGCAAGUCGAGCGCAGGAAACUGACGGAACUCUUCGGAGGGAAGGCAGUGGAAUGAGCGGCGGACGGGUGAGUAACACGUAAGGAACCUGCCUCAAGGAUUGGGAUAACUCCGAGAAAUCGGAGCUAAUACCGGAUAGUUCAUCGGACCGCAUGGUCCGGUGAUGAAAGGCGCUCCGGCGUCACCUUGAGAUGGCCUUGCGGUGCAUUAGCUAGUUGGUGGGGUAACGGCCCACCAAGGCGACGAUGCAUAGCCGACCUGAGAGGGUGAUCCGCCACACUGGGACUGAGACACGGCCCAGACUCCUACGGGAGGCAGCAGUAGGGAAUCUUCCACAAUGGACGAAAGUCUGAUGGAGCAACGCCGCGUGAGUGAUGAAGGUUUUCGGAUCGUAAAACUCUGUUGUAAGGGAAGAACACGUACGAGAGGGAAUGCUCGUACCUUGACGGUACCUUACGAGAAAGCCACGGCUAACUACGUGCCAGCCGCCGCAGUAA